UUUAAUUUAAUUUACAGUAACAAGUGGGCCCUCGAAUAACCAAAAGUAAGAAAGAUUGUGAACCUACAGUUUGGAGGAUGCAAAUCCAAUGGUGGUCCUCGAUGAAAUCAGCUAUCUAUAGACUAUCCUGAGCCUAAAAUAGGUGGAAAGGAGGGAGGUGAGAUUAUUUAAUCCUAGUGAGUAAACAAAUAACAUCUAAAAUAUCUAAAGUCGAGUAAAUGGAGACAGAUAAAAUAGUUUAACAUAAUGAAAUUCAUCACCUUUCAACUUGUUUCAACCAAAUAAAAUCAAUUCAUAUAAAUCGAGUAAUCAACAUGGCUUAUGAAUUUCUUAAAACUUUGGCUCGUGUCAAAAUCAUUCUCAUACCCAGUUAUCAGGGAUGCCUUGAUCGAGGGUUAUCCCAACUGAGUCCGCCAAGGCUGUUAAAAAGUUAUGUAUGAAUAAAUCAUGUUUUUAUUUUGAAAACAUAACUGUUCCUUGGCGUUGGCUAAGUUCACCCUUACGUGGUGGUUUGGUAUGAAGUGAACUCUAAAGUUAUACCUCAGGAGUUACCCUACUCGCCUCUCCAACCGAGGUAAAAUAUAACGGUAUUCCGUGCCCCUCUAAUAGGCUGGUCCACAAAAAACUCGCCCACUGCAGCAAGUUAAACCCACCAUAUAAUAAAAUUUGCAAUAGCAUGACAUGGCAAUUAUUUUAUUUUAUUUUAUUUUGCAGCCUUUCAAGGUAAAUCAAUAAUUUAUACAUUUCCAACACAUUUAUCAAAUCAACCAUUCAUGCCAAUAUUGCCACAAGCCAAUCAAUUAGAAUCAUGAAUUUACAACACACAAAAACAGUCUCCAAUUACUCUAUUUUCAAACCAUCAUUCAAUUUUAAAACAAUUUUAUAAAAUCAUUUUCAUUAAAUCACAUUUUGUUUAAAAAUCGAAAAAUUUAUCAUUUAAUUGAUUUUCCAUGAAAUUCACAAAGUCGAAUAAAACAUAGUUUAGAUAAUUAAGAUGAUGAUAAGGUUACUUACUAUUUCAGGAGUCGAAUUCCCAAUACUCCGAUUCUUGAUCCUCGAGUACUAUCUCUUUACUUUUGCCAAAAUGCUCACCACCUAGACAUAAUGCACAAUAAGCCAUUUACUACAUUUGUGCUAAAUUGUUAUAAAACCAAUUCAGGCUUUAUACUAAUGUAUGAAAUGGGAUGCAAAUUGUUCGGAUUAUUGUCUAAACAUGGUAUUCUACACAAAUUCAAUUGUGUACCUAAAUUAAACGGUAUUGGCCUAAUUCGAUCUAUCACUCGAUUAAUUGGCCAAUACGUCCAAUUCAACUCUAAAUAAUUUCAUUUUUCUCCCAAUACUCCAAAUCAUCAAACACAAAUUAAAUAACUUGAAAUAUGGCAAAAUCAUCCUCACAUUUUUUCUUGGUAAAUUCGGCCAUGGUGGGUGCAUCAACAUUAUAAUUUUGCCUACUUGAUUCUCAUACCAUAAAUCACUAAUUCCUAACCAAAUCACUUGAAAUAAAAUCAAAAUCAUCCUCAAUAUUCCACAUGGAGAAUUCAGCCAAUGAUGGGUGAUGGGAGAACAUGAAUUUUUCUUGCUUGAUUUUCAUGGUACACAUCACCAAUCAACUAAAAACACUAAAAUACAUUGAAAUCUAACCAAAUCAAGCAUCAAAACCUCUCUCCUAGGGUUUGAUCAGCACACUAUCCUUCAUGAUAUCUUGUGAUUCAACCAUGGAAAAUGCAAAAUAAUGCAUGGGAAAGGUAGAUCACAAGUCAAAAUCAAGAAAUUUUACCUUUGAUUGCUUGAUUACUUGAAUUUUCACACUUUUCCCUUGAAUUUUUCCACCUAGGGUUUGUGUUCUUCUUUUCUUCCUUUGUUCUUG
rnacentral:lncRNA from 1 species